UACAGGGGGGGCAAGCGUUGUUCGGAAUUACUGGGCGUAAAGGGCGUGUAGGCGGUUGGCUAAGUGGGGUGUGAAAUCUCCCGGCUUAACUGGGAGGGUGCGCUACAGACUGUCUGACUAGAGUGUGGGAUGGGAGAGUGGAAUUCCUGGUGUAGCGGUGAAAUGCGUAGAUAUCGAGAGGAACACCUGCGGCGAAGGCGGGUUGCUGGGCUGACACUGACGCUGAUGCGCGAAAGCCAGGGGAGCGAACGGG
rnacentral:rRNA from 1 species